AGUCCAUGGUGUUGGAACUUCCUUAGAAUUCUCUUGAAAUGCUCCCAUGCCUCAUACAAGGAUUCACUUUCAAAUUGUUUAAAACUGGCGAUUACUAACCAU
rfam:Gossypium hirsutum cultivar TM-1 chromosome 11, whole genome shotgun sequence